rnacentral:rRNA from 1 species
GACGAACGCUGGCGGCGCGCCUAACACAUGCAAGUCGAGCGAGAACCAGGGCUUCGGCCCUGGGGAAAGCGGCGAACGGGUGAGUAUCACGUGAGUAACCUGCCCUCGACACCGGAAUAGCCCGGGGAAACCCGGAUUAAUGCCGGAUAGCCCCACAGUCCUGCGGGACGGUGGGAAAAGGUAGCUUUGGCCUCUGGUCGAGGAUGGGCUUGCGUCGGAUUAGCUUGUUGGUGGGGUAAUGGCCCACCAAGGCGACGAUCCGUAGCUGGUCUGGGAGGACGAUCAGCCACACUGGGACUGAGACACGGCCCAGACUCCUACGGGAGGGAGCAGUGGGGAAUCUUGCGCAAUGGGCGAAAGCCUGACGCAGCGACGCCGCGUGCGGGAAGAAGGCCUUCGGGUUGUAAACCGCUUUCAGGAGGGACGAAGCCACUCGGGUUAAUAGCCCAGAGGGUGACGGUACCUCCAGAAGAAGCCCCGGCUAACUACGUGCCAGCCGCCGCGGUAA